GACAACAUGGCUCAGUGGUAGAGCACUUGCUCAGCAUGUGCCAGGUCCUGAGUUCAAUCCUCAGUGAUGCUG
rnacentral:tRNA from 1 species